rnacentral:rRNA from 1 species
AUUGAACGCUGGCGGCAGGCCUAACACAUGCAAGUCGAGCGAGCGGCGGACGGGUGAGUAAUGUCUGGGAAACUGCCUGAUGGAGGGGGAUAACUACUGGAAACGGUAGCUAAUACCGCAUACCAUCAGAUGUGCCCAGAGGGGAUUAGCUAGUAGGUGGGGUAACGGCUCACCUAGGCGACGAGCCCUAGCUGGUCUGAGAGGAUGACCAGCCGCACUGGAAGGGAGACAGGGUCCAGACGCCUACGGGAGGCAGCAGUGGGGAAUAUUGCGCAAUGGGCGCAAGCCUGGUGCAGCCAGGCCGCGUGUGAUGAGAAGGCCUUCGGGGUGUAAAGCACUUUCAGCGGGGAGGCGUUACCCGCAGAAGAAGCACCGGCUAACUCCGUGCCAGCAGCCGCGGUAAUAC